GAUGAACGCUGGCGGCGUGCCUAAUACAUGCAAGUCGAGCGAACGGACGAGAAGCUUGCUUCUCUGAUGUUAGCGGCGGACGGGUGAGUAACACGUGGAUAACCUACCUAUAAGACUGGGAUAACUUCGGGAAACCGUAGCUAAUACCGGAUAAUAUUUUGAACCGCAUGGUUCAAAAGUGAAAGACGGUCUUGCUGUCACUUAUAGAUGGAUCCGCGCUGCAUUAGCUAGUUGGUAAGGUAACGGCUUAUCAAGGCAACGAUGCAUAGCCGACCUGAGAGGGUGAUCGGCCACACUGGAACUGAGACACGGUCCAGACUCCUACGGGAGGCAGCAGUAGGGAAACUUCCGCAAUGGGCGAAAGCCUGACGGAGCAACGCCGCGUGAGUGAUGAAGGUCUUCGGAUCGUAAAACUCUGUUAUUAGGGAAGAACAUAUGUGUAAGUAACUGUGCACAUCUUGAUGGUACCUAAUCAGAAAGCCACGGCUAACUACGUG
rnacentral:rRNA from 1 species